AGAUCAGGUCCCUGCUCUGAGAGACCUAGGGAAGGGCUGGGGACAGAAGAGGAAGGGAUGCCCCCAAUGAUGUCCUACCCCAGACCCGGGGAGGGGGAGCCAGAGGACAGUGUGUGUGUGUCUGGGCUUCAUGACAGCUGGCUGUGUCUCUCCAGGAUCAGUGUUUAUGGAAGAGGGAUCUGAGCAGAGAUCCAGGAGUCCAGCUCUGAGGAGUCAACCCUGGCAUCGAGACUGGGAUUUCUCCGGCCCCCGAGAGCACCCCCCUCCCUGGCCUAUGGUGAGAUUCCAAUGAGUUCACACCCUGAGAAUUCUUCCCAACUACAGGGGAGGACAGUUGACGAAGAUGCUGAACAUGCCAAGCCCUCUUUUUGCAAGACCAGAGAAAGGUGGUGAAGCCCUUGAGGCCAACACGAAGGUGCAACCUCCCCAGGACAGUGAUCGGAGCCAUGGGUCCUCCAACCAGAGCCCAGGGCCCCUGCCUCCCCUCCCAGACAGCUGGCUGAAGCUUCUGUUGGUUUGAGAGCCCUGAGAUGAGAAAUCACUUCAGGAGAUGGGAUGGGAAGUCUGGUGCAGUGGAACGUCACAGCCUUCCUAGCGUCGGGAUUGUUGGAGGGCCUCGAGGAUGGCCCCAGAGAGCUGCAGGGUGCCCGGGGAUGUGGCUUCUACUAAGUAGCUCCAUGAAGCACAGGGACAGUGGCUAGGGCUCCUUGAGAGCUAGGCUCCUGUUUGGGAGGGCUGGGAUCCUGAGAUCUCCUAGCAGCUUCAGGGACCUCCUCGUGGGAGGAGGAUGGUGUGAUGUGCCUGCUGGCUCCGGAACCCCAGCGGGGGAAGAGAGUGUUUGGGGCCAUUGUGGAAGACUCUCAAGUCAAGACAGCACUGUGGGAUGUCCAGAGGAACUGCCCCCGCCCACCCCAGGAGGCUCAGGCUUAUGUGGACUAAACCCUGACACCCAGGUUUGGUGACAAACACCUGUCCAGGGAAGUCGCUGGCACUUUCACCGUGCCACCGACUCACUGUGGCUCCCAAGGACUACGAUACCACAGGCAGAGGGCAUGGGAACAGGUGGUGCCGUUCGGACAGACUGUCAAGAGCACUGAACUGGGAGCCAAGACCACCCUCAGGUUCCAGAGACCCUUCCUCCUGGGCGACAGUUUCCCUCUUCCUGCGUAAGAGCAGUGGACAGGCCUGUCCCGCUUUGACAUCCUGAUCCUGCCCACUGUUCCCAUUUCACAAAUGGGGAAUGAAGGGAGAGGGUGAGUGGCUUAUCCUCAACCACCCACAGGACAGCAAGGGAGCCACAGCGAGGUCCCAGGCCUCACGGCCCCUGCCUGAGGCUCAGACCCCUUCAAACUGUUCUGAGAUGUCUGAUUAAUUCAAAAGGACCUGUGACCUUCUGACCCAGCCGUUUCCUGCCUGGGAAUUUAUUCUGAGGAAAUAAAUAAUCGAGAAUGU
rnacentral:lncRNA from 10 species